AAGCAGCCAUCCUUGAAAGAGUGCGUAACAGCUCACUGGUCGAGCGUCCCUGCGCCAAAAAUGUGGGGGGCUAAGCAUGGCGCCGAAGCUUCGGAUUCUAAGGAAAUAUCCUUAGACUGGUAGGGGAGCGUUCUAUACAGGACGAAGCAUGAUUGUAAGAUUAUGUGGACAAUAUAGAAGUGAGAAUGACGGCAUGAGUAGCGAAAAGUGUGCGAAAAACACACUCACCGAAAACCCAAGGAUUCCUGGGGAAGGUUCAUCCACCCAGGGUUAGGCGGGACCUAAGGCGAGGCCGAAAGGCGUAGUCGAUGGACAGCAGGUAGACAAUCCUGCCCUUUGGCAGUUCGUUUGACAGAUGGAGUGACGCAGAAAGCUAUGCACGCCGGGUGAUGGAAAUCCCGGUACAAGGUUGUAGGCUUGAGAAAGAGGCAAAUCCCUUUCUCUCCAAGGCCGAGAACUGACGUGGAAGAAUCCAAUUCGAGAAGGUGCAAAUGCUCGGCUGCCGAGAAAAACUUCUAUGGAGAACUGUCGAACCCGUACUCAAAACCGACACAGGUGGGUUGGCUUAGAAGGCUAAGGUGAACGGGAUAACCAUUGUUAAGGAACUCUGCAAGUUGACUCCGUAACUUCGGGAGAAGGAGUGGCUGGAGAUGUGAAUAUUUUACAUAGUAAGCAUCUUUGGUUCGCAGAAACCAGGCUCAGGCGACUGUUUAACUAAAACACAGGACUCUGCUGAAGGCGCAAGCCGAAGUAUAGGGUCUGACACCUGCCCGGUGCUGGAAGGUUAAAGGGAGAGGUCAGCCGCAAGGCGAAGCUUUGAACUGAAGCCCCAGUAAACGGCGGCCGUAACUAUAACGGUCCUAAGGUAGCGAAAUUCCUUGUCGGGUAAGUUCCGACCUGCACGAAAGGUGUAACGAUCUGAGCGCUGUCUCGACAGUGGGCCCGGUGAAAUUGUGGUACUGGUAAAGACGCCAGUUACCCGCAGUAGGACGGAAAGACCCCGUGGAGCUUUACUGUAACUUGAUAUUGGAUUUCGGUAUAGUAUGUAUAGGAUAGGUGGGAGGCUAAGAAGUAAGGUCGCCAGACUUUAUGGAGCCAUCGUUGGAAUACCACCCUUAUUGUGCUGGGAUUCUAACCGCAGGCACUGAAUCGUGAUGCGGGACAUUGUCAGGCGGGCAGUUUGACUGGGGCGGUCGCCUCCCAAAGAGUAACGGAGGCGCGCGAAGGUCACCUCAAGAUGAAUGGAAAACAUCUACAGAGCGUAAGGGUAUAAGGUGGCUUAACUGUGAGAUUGACAGAUCGAUCAGAAACGAAAGUUGGUCCUAGUGAUCCGGUGGUCCUGAGUGGAAAGGCCAUCGCUCAUCGGAUAAAAGCUACCCCGGGGAUAACAGGCUGAUGCCGCCCGAGAGUUCCUAUCGACGGCGGCGUUUGGCACCUCGAUGUCGGCUCAUCGCAUCCUGGGGCUGA
rnacentral:rRNA from 1 species